AAGUACUAGAGAAUAAGGAAGCCUGUCUUCCCAGGAUGGGCCACAAGAGGGCGCCCUAUGCCCCAGCCUGAGUCACCACCCCUUUACCCCGUUCCAGGAGAACCCGCCCUUCCUUUCUGUGCCCGACGAAGCCAGUAGAGAGUGUAGGAUCUCCUGAAGCCACAUCCUUGGAGUUACAAGUAGUUGCAAACCUCUCAACAUGGGUUCUAGGAACUGAACCCAGGCCCUCUAGAAGGACAUCAAGUGGUCUUAACCACUGAGCCCUCUCUGCAGUCCAACCCAGGGCCCUCGGAGGCUGAGGCGAAACAAGUUCAAUGACUACACCUCUUCCCUGAAGUACUUUGAGUCGUGGCCUGGAAGCAUCCUGAGGCAGCAGGAGUGGGAUGGGCAGCUCAGAGGUGGCUCCUCCCUACUGUCCCUGUACUGGUCUGUGGAAAUGUCUGUUAAGCAGAGGCUCUUGGAGGUUAUGGCUGUGAGUACUGGAAAGUUCUUUCUUGCCCCUAUACUCCCAGGAAGAAAGAUGACACAAAUCAAAGGUCCAGUGCUUUAUUAUUGUCACAAAACAUAGAGAGGAAGGCUCACUAUUCUUCCCCCCAUGGGAAAGCCACUGUGCGGGUGGGGUUGGCGGGAGCCUUGUUGGGUGGGACUCGGGAGGAUGGUGGAAAUCGUAAGCACUGUUGGAUUGGGGAAUUACUGAGUGUGGCCUAAGGUAAGUGUCUUAAGCUCUCUCAGCCUUGGGCUGCUUGCCUGCUACCUCACUGGGUCUGCAGUGAGAACUGGGAUUGCCCAGAGUGUCAAGAGCCCGAGAGUGGAGGGUGGUGAUGCUGUCAUCGGCAAGUCUGCCAUCCCGAGUAAGUCAGCAACGGUCUCCGAAUGUGAGCGGGAGGGGGGAGGGGUCUCUCUUCAGAAAUGUCUUCUGGAUGCUUGCUGGGAGCAUAGUAGCCCCUGGGGACUGCCUGGUCUCUGGAGACUCCAGGGCACACUGGAAACGAGGGUUGUGGGGCUAUGACACUUGCUACCUCCACCGGACUAGGGACAGUUUAAGGGUGGUUCUCAGGGACAUGGGUGUGUGCAUGAGUGCAUGUGUGUGUGCACACAGUCACUGUUUUCUGUCAUUGUCUACUCUAUGAGGCAGAGUCUUGGUAAACCAACCCUGGCUAGCCUGGCUGGCUGCAGGUCUCCAGGGGUCCUCUUGUCUUUCUCCCCACCAGCCUUAGGAUUGUAAGUGUGACCUCACAUAGGCGCUGGGCAUGUGAAAUCAGCGCUUUACACACUGAGCCGUGUCCCCAGCACCGAAGUUCUAGAACUUCCUUCACAUUUAUUUCUUUCUAUUGUGUGUGUGAGCGCGUUUGCUGCACACGGCAUACGACCCAUUUGGAGGUCAGAGGACAAGUUUCGGGAGCUCAGUGGCUUUGGGGACUUCUACUCAAGCCCUUAGAUUGGUGUCAAGUGCCUUUGCUGGUAAGCCCCAUCUCAUCCUUCCAGCCCAAGUCCUAUUUUAUAGCUGGAUUUCAUCAAGGGUUUUGACUUCCACUCCUGCCUCUGCCUCCCAAGUGUUGCAAAUAAAGGUGGUCUGCCUAAGGAAAAGCCAACUCUAAGACAUGGACACAUCUCUGGCGAGAGAUGAAUAAGGGUUAAUUAAGCCCUGGUUGUGUACAGGGGUCACGAGUGUCCCUGCAGUGGGAAGAAACACCACCAGGGGCGCUCCAAAUAGCAUAUUUUCUACCUUGAAACCUCAUUUUCCUGUGGCUGCCCUCCAAAUUCAAUGGAGACGAACUGUUUCUUAGUUUACCUAACUGAUUUAAUAAACCUUGAAAAUAAAUUUGUGUAUUACUUUCUUAAUAAUGUGGAUAUGGGCCUGUGGGAAGGAAUGUGGAGGGUCAGAGUGGAGGGAAGGCUGUCUCGGAGUCUGGUUCAACCACUGUGACUCGAGACAAGUUUCUCAAGAGUGAAGCAGUUCUGAGGUUCCCACAUCCAACCUCCCCGGGAUGUUAGGAAAUAUGGACGCAGUGGGAAAAAAGCAACACAAAGGUCAGAAGAGGUCCCAAGACCGCUUACCUCCCUCCGAUGCACCUCCUCCUCCUCCCUUCUCCCUGGGAGGAAAUGUCAGGGUGGGAAGGAGGCAGAUCCAGCUGUUAAGCCAUGACCUCAAGAACAGUAUUUCCAGGAAUCCCCAUCUUAGCAUCCAAGGGAUUCCUGGGAAAACUGGACCGUGAGGACAAGGUGGGAGAGAGAUGCCUUCAGCAGUGCCACGCCCACCCCUAGGGACGAGCAGUUUUCCCUGCAUCCGGCGCCAGCUCUGGCAGCCAGUGUGGGGUGCUAUAUGCACCUCACUUCUCAGGAUGCAGCUCUCUACUCUGGGGAGAGCAACCAGAGCUCUGAGUGGCUUGGAAAGUACCUCCCCUGAGGUCAGGAAGCAUUUGGGACCAGUCCUCCCUGCCCCCUCCCCCUUGCCAUGGGGCCAUGAGAACUCUGGCCAGUGGUCAUGAAAUCCGUUCCCAGGCUCUAUCGACUUUCUCACUGUUGUCCUCCAGCAGGUCACUUAGACUCUGAUCUUUGCUCGAUUGUGAGGUGGCAUCAAAUAGGACCUACUGGGUGGGCGAGGAGCCAGCAUGAAGGAAGUGAGGCCACAGGACUCUUAGAAAUAUGUAUGGUCAGGGGCUGGACAGAUGGCUCAGCGAUUAAGAGUGCUGGCUGCGCUUCCAGAGGUCCUGAGUUCAAUUCCCAGCAGCCACCUGGCUCAGGACCAUUUAUAAAGGGAUCUGAUGCCCUCUUCUGGCCUGCAGGUGGACAUGUAGAAGUGUGUGGUUCUGAUGUCACUACAGCUGAGAGUAACCAGCUGUAGACCGCGUGGGGUGCGUUCUAUUUUCAUACUCUGCUCUAUGAAGUGGGUCAGCUUCCUCUGAGCAGGCUAGGGAGGUUAAAUACAAAUGGGUAGACCCCAGUGGCUCCCCUCUGUUGCCCCUUGCCUCUCUGAAGCCUCUGGGACAGGGCAGACAUUUGCGAGAUGCCAGACUGGUUGAGGCAACAGCACCAACCAGGGUUAGAGCUCAAAGAGUGAGGACAGUGACUCCAAGCCUAAUGUGUGGCACUUCUGUUGGGUUGCCAGGACCGUUCGCCUCUACCUCUAGGACUAAGGGUUGUUUGGGACUGUCUGAUCCACAGAGAUGAAGGGGUUUCAACGCAGAACCAUUUAUAGUAGAUAUUCAGUGUUGAGAAGGAUUCCGAGGGCGUGUUGGAACCCUCUCAGAAUGGAUAGAUGCCGCGGUUUGUUUGUUUGUUUGUUUGUUAGCAGUGUCUUCUCUGGGCUGAGGAAGUAAAGGCAGUGUGUUGGUGCUGGCGGCCAUUGAAUGAACCAGCGUUUACUGUUACGGAUGGCAUAAGAGUGCUCAGCCCUGGUACAGCCUGAGUCAAGGAACAUCACCACAAGUUGCUGCAGCGGACUCUAGGGACAACCGAUCGGGCCCGCUACCCCUCACCAACACUUACCAUGUCCCGGCGACGGCUGCAGAACAUCUUCUCCCUUCCUGAGCUACAGUGCUUCAUCUCAGACUCCCAACUGACCAGAGAUGCAGCACUGCACCUCAGGCUGGGAGACAGGCGCUCCGCGCUCAGGCCACGGCUUUCUUCCUGGGCAGGAGAAUGAGCAUGCGCAGUGGUCUGCCUCCUAUACUGGUCUGGACACGCCCUGGAGACCUCUGGGAAGGAAACGUCCAUCUUCGUGUCCUUUGUCUUUUAAAGUUAGCUUUCUUGAGAUGGACCCUACCCAUCUGAAGUGUGCAGUUAAUUUUUUUUUUCAGUGCUAAAGAUGGAACCCAGGGCCUUGCAGAUAGCCUCUCUGUGCCUGCUCAACUUGUGGUUCCCGUAUUUGCCCCAUCCGUCUCUGUAUGCAGUCUGGACAAAUGACAGCUACUGAGAAACCACCCCUUACUUCUUUAGAUCCAAGGACAUCUCCUUCAUGGGCGCUCCCAACCUUUGAACUCUGUUUCUUCCUAGCUCUUGGGGUACUGUUUUCAUCUGGGAGCACUUUCCUUCACUUUCCCUUCAGGAAAGGGAGUCUGCUGGCUUUCCUCUGCCCCCGAAUCAAGGCCAUGUUGAACACUGCUUAAGUAGAUCAAUCGCAACCCACAUCACCCUCUGUGGCUUUGGAGUGGUUCAUCUCU
ensembl:lncRNA